rnacentral:rRNA from 1 species
GAUGAACGCUGGCGGCGUGCCUAACACAUGCCAGUCGAACGGAAAGACACUAAGAGCGGGCCUUUACCGGUGGCGGGGGGCGGAAGAGUGAGGUAUCCAUCGCAUUCCUCUGGGUCAAGGGGAACAACGUGGGGCAAAUGCCGGUAAUGAAUCAUACGUCCUACGGGGGGGUGCAGAAGAUCUUGCGGCUUUGGCUGGUUUCUCGAGACGAUGGCGGAUUAGCUAGUUGGCGGGGUAAAGGCGCACCAAGGCGACGAUCCGUAGCUGGUCUGAGAGGAUGAUCAGCCACACUGGAACUGAGACACGGUCCAGACUCCUACGGGAGGCAGCAGUGGGGAAUAUUGGACAAUGGGCGCAAGCCUGAUCCAGCCAUGCCGCGUGGGUGAAGAAGGCCUUCGGGUUGUAAAGCCCUUUUGUUGGGAAAGAAAAGCAGCAGGUUAAUCCCCCGCUGUUCUGACGGUACCCAAAGAAUAAGCACCGGCUAACUUCGUG